UUAGUACUUCCUCCGUUCGGAAUUACUUGUCGGAGAAAUGGAUGUAUUUAGAUGUAUUUUAGUUCUAGAUACAUUCAUUUUCGAGACAAAUAAUUCCGAACGGAGGAAGUACAAG
rnacentral:pre_miRNA from 1 species